rnacentral:tRNA from 1 species
AGUCUUAUAGUAUAAAUAAAAUAUUUUAAAUUGCAAAUUUAAAGAUGGAUUUCCUAAGGCUU